CACCAGCUCCACAAGUGGGGAUCACAUUUAUUUGGCCUAAAGCGUCCGUAGCUGGUUUUGUAAAUCUUUUGUGAAAUUGUUAGGCUUAACCUAACAGCGUGCAGGAGACACUGCAGAACUAGGGACCGGGAAGAGUUAGGGGUAUGUUGAGGGGAGCGGUAAAAUGCAAUAAUCCUCGAUAGACCACCUGUGGCGAAGGCGCCUAACUAGAACGGGUCCGACAGUGAGGGACGAAAGCCAGGGGA
rnacentral:rRNA from 1 species